rnacentral:rRNA from 1 species
UACGUAGGGGGCUAGCGUUGUCCGGAUUUAUUGGGCGUAAAGAGCGUGUAGGCGGCCAGGUAGGUCUGCUGUGAAAACUCGAGGCUCAACCUCGAGACGUCGGCGGAAACCAUCUGGCUAGAGUCCGGAAGAGGAGAGUGGAAUUCCUGGUGUAGCGGUGAAAUGCGCAGAUAUCGUCAAGAACACCUAUAGCGAAGGCAGCUUACUAGGCUGUAACUGACGCUGAGGCACGAAAGUGUGGGGAUCAAACAGG